GCAAGUAGAACGCUGAAGAGAGGAGCUCGCUCUUCUUGGAUGAGUUGCGAACGGGUGAGUAACGCGUAGGUAACCUGCCUUGUAGCGGGGGAUAACUAUUGGAAACGAUAGCUAAUACCGCAUAACAAUGGAUGACACAUGUCAUUUAUUUGAAAGGGGCAAUUGCUCCACUACAAGAUGGACCUGCGUUGUAUUAGCUAGUUGGUGAGGUGACGGCUCACCAAGGCGACGAUACAUAGCCGACCUGAGAGGGUGAUCGGCCACACUGGGACUGAGACACGGCCCAGACUCCUACGGGAGGCAGCAGUAGGGAAUCUUCGGCAAUGGGGGCAACCCUGACCGAGCAACGCCGCGUGAGUGAAGAAGGUUUUCGGAUCGUAAAGCUCUGUUGUAAGAGAAGAACGUGUGUGAGAGUGGAAAGUUCACACAGUGACGGUAACUUACCAGAAAGGGACGGCUAACUACGUGCCAGCAGCCGCGGUAAUACGUAGGUCCCGAGCGUUGUCCGGAUUUAUUGGGCGUAAAGCGAGCGCAGGCGGUUUAAUAAGUCUGAAGUUAAAGGCAGUGGCUUAACCAUUGUUCGCUUUGGAAACUGUUAGACUUGAGUGCAGAAGGGGAGAGUGGAAUUCCAUGUGUAGCGGUGAAAUGCGUAGAUAUAUGGG
rnacentral:rRNA from 1 species